GAUGAACGCUGGCGGCGUGCCUAAUACAUGCAAGUCGAGCGAACAGACGAGGAGCUUGCUCCUCUGACGUUAGCGGCGGACGGGUGAGUAACACGUGGAUAACCUACCUAUAAGACUUGGAUAACUUCGGGAAACCGGAGCUAAUACCGGAUAAUAUAUUGAACCGCAUGGUUCAAUAGUGAAAGACGGUUUUGCUGUCACUUAUAGAUGGAUCCGCGCCGCAUUAGCUAGUUGGUAAGGUAACGGCUUACCAAGGCAACGAUGCGUAGCCGACCGGAGAGGGUGAUCGGCCACACUGGAACUGAGACACGGUCCAGACUCCUACGGGAGGCAGCAGUAGGGAAUCUUCCGCAAUGGGCGAAAGCUUGACGGAGCAACGCCGCGUGAGUGAUGAAGGUCUUCGGAUCGUAAAACUCUGUUAUUAGGGAAGAACAAAUGUGUAAGUAACUAUGCACGUCUUGACGGUACCUAAUCAGAAAGCCACGGCUAACUACGUG
rnacentral:rRNA from 1 species